rnacentral:pre_miRNA from 1 species
CACGAUGACGACGAUUACAUAGCCUUGUACUCCCUCCGUUCCAAAAUGGAUGACCCAAGUUUGUACUAAAGUUAGUACAAAGUUGAGUCAUCUAUUCUGGAACGGAGGGAGUAGUAGUAAUACAACGUUGCUAGUGAUAAGGAAAAUC